GCCAGGUGUGGUGGCUCACGCCUGUAAUCCCAGCACUUUGGGAGGCUGAGGUGGGUGGAUCACGAGGUCAGGAGUUUGAGACCAGCCUGACCAACAUGGUGAAACCCCGUCUCUACUAAAAAUACNNNNNNNNNNGUAUUUUUAGUAGAGACGGGGUUUCACCAUGUUGGUCAGGCUGGUCUCAAACUCCUGACCUCGUGAUCCACCCACCUCAG
rfam:Gorilla gorilla gorilla genomic chromosome, chr9, whole genome shotgun sequence